rnacentral:tRNA from 1 species
GCCCCUGUAGCUCAGUGGUAGAGCAACCGCCUUGUAAGCGGUAGGUCGUCAGUUCAAUCCUGACCGGGGGCCCCA